UUGUGGAGGCAGUGAGGCCUCCAACGGCGCCACCGUGUGGCAGUGCCGGGCAGCGCAGAGGAGGACGCCGAGGAUCCCAGGGCCGUCCCUCGCACGCGCCAGGAACCUUCUCCCACCUUCUCGGACAGGGUUAUAUUGCAUUUCAGAAUCUACGCCCAUAACGAACUCAUCCUCUGGAAGAUCAACAGUCUGGUGCUUUCCCACAUCCACCUGUUCCCAGGGGCCACUUCAGCCAGGCUCUGAGAUUUCACUGCACCCAACCCACGUCUACUUUUAAGGCUUCAAAGGAAUCCAGAAAAAAAGGAUUUUGCCUGCCAUUUCCCCCAUUCUUCUAGAGUGACCCUCGUGCUUCCUGUGUGCUCUCCCCUCCACCAUCCCAUGGCAUGAUGGACCCUUUCUUCUUGGGAACUCUCACGCAGGGGAAGCUGCCAUCCGGUUAUGCCCUAUGGAGAAGCCCAAGUGGUAAACAACCGAUGUCUCCAGCCAGCAGCCAGCAAGACUUGCUGCCAGUCGUGCGAAUGAGCUCGAAAGUGGAUCUCCUCCCAGGUGAGCUUUGAGAAGACUGUGGCCCCAGCCCACAACUUGAUCGCACCCUGGAGAGACAGCCUGAGUCAGAGCCACUCAGCUCAGCCUCCGCUGGGUUCCUGACCCACAGAGCUGCUAGACAACAAAUGUUUGUUGUUGUAAGCUGCACCGAUGGAUUUUAGGUCCAGUCCCAGGAAGAGUGAUGAUCAAGCUGUUUGGUGCUUAGUUAGCCCAGGAAAAUGCUCACCACUACCUGUUACAAUUGUCUCUCCUCCCUUCUUCCUUGUCUCUCAAAGGUUUGAAGUCUCCUUUUUGGGUGGGCAGAAAAAGUCUAAAAUUUAGCUAAUCUGUAACUUUGGUUAUGUAAUUCCUUGUUAUUGUAGAAUAAAUUCCAUUUUAAUCAAGGAAGUUAGAAAUAAAAUAGAAAACCCUGUCUCUCUUCA